GUGAUCCGGUGGGUCUGCGUGGAAGGGCCAUCGCUCAACGGAUAAAAGCUACCCUGGGGAUAACAGGCUUAUCUCCCCCAAGAGUCCACAUCGACGGGGAGGUUUGGCACCUCGAUGUCGGCUCAUCACAUCCUGGGGCUGUAGUAGGUCCCAAGGGUUGGGCUGUUCGCCCAUUAAAGUGGUACGCGAGCUGGGUUCAGAACGUCGUGAGACAGUUCGGUCCCUAUCCGUCGCAGGCGUAGGAAAUUUGAGAAGACCUGUCCUUAGUA
rnacentral:rRNA from 1 species